UCUAAGGAGUGCUUCAUCAACCGAUCAGAGACGUUUGUUCUCUGCGGUUGCAUGACACACCUGUUGGUGCACUGGCAUGUUUGUCUGGAUAGCGCGCAUUGAUUGCAGGGAUUCGGUCCCUCUUGAUGUAGCGGAGUCAGGUGCACAUUGUCUUCUCUUCUGUUUUGAGGGAGUUUCACUCUUUCACGCCGCAUUGUUGAGCCGGCCUUAUCGUCAUCCUUUCCGAUGGCAUUUGAUAAGUGCUGGCUCCAGUGUUUGGUGGCUUCUUGAGAACUGCAGAGCAAGCACGAGCCAUCUUCGAGGUGACCGUCUUUUGAUGGUUAUCUCGUUUAUGAAUAGAUUAUUUG
rnacentral:misc_RNA from 1 species